rnacentral:rRNA from 1 species
AACGAACGCUGGCGGCAUGCCUAACACAUGCAAGUCGAACGAAACGUUCGGGCCUAUGUGCGCAGGGCUGCUUAAGGAGUGGUAAGUUGCCCGUAGGUUCGGAAUAAUUGCCCGAAAGGGGUGCUAAUACAGGUUAAUGUCUUCGGACCAAGGAGCUCUUGCUGUUGGAUGGGGCCUGGUUGGUUUAGCUAGUUGGGAGGGGAAAAGCAUGCCAAGGGCACGAUCCAUGGCUGGUGGGAGAGGAUGACCAGCCACACUGGGAAUGCGACCCGGCCCAGUAGCCUACGGGAGGCAGCAGUGGGGAAUAUUAGACAAUGGGCGAAAGCCUGAUCCCGCCAUGCCGCGGAAGUGAUGAAGGCCUUAGGGUUGUACAGCUCUUUUACCCGGGAUGAUAAUGACAGUACCGGGAGAAUAAGCUCCGGCUAACUCCGUG